CAGUAGCCGCGGUAAUACGUAGGUCCCGAGCGUUGUCCGGAUUUAUUGGGCGUAAAGCGAGCGCAGGCGGUUAGAUAAGUCUGAAGUUAAAGGCUGUGGCUUAACCAUAGUACGCUUUGGAAACUGUUUAACUUGAGUGCAAGAGGGGAGAGUGGAAUUCCAUGUGUAGCGGUGAAAUGCGUAGAUAUAUGGAGGAACACCGGUGGCGAAAGCGGCUCUCUGGUCUGUCACUGACGCUGAGGCUCGAAAGCGUGGGUAGCGAACAGGAUUAGAUACCCCGGUAGUCCCUGUCUCUUAUACU
rnacentral:rRNA from 1 species